CUACCGGGGGGCUCCAGUGAGGAAUAUUGCACAAUGGGGGGAACCCUGAUGCAGCAACGCCGCGUGAAGGAUGACGCAUUUCGGUGUGUAAACUCCUUUUAUAUGUCAAGAAAAUGACGGUAGCAUAUGAAUAAGCACCGGCUAACUCCGUGCCAGCAGCCGCGGUAAUACGGAGGGUGCAAGCGUUACUCGGAAUCACUGGGCGUAAAGGACGCGUAGGCGGGUUGGAAAGUCAGGUGUGAAAUCCUACAGCUUAACUGUAGAACUGCACUUGAAACUUCUAAUCUAGAGUAUGGGAGGGGGAGAUGGAAUUAGUGGUGUAGGGGUAAAAUCCGUAGAUAUCACUAGGAAUACCUAAAGCGAAGGCGAUCUCCUGGAACAUUACUGACGCUAAGGCGUGAAAGCGUGGGGAGCAAACAGGAUUAGAUACCCUCGUAGUC
rnacentral:rRNA from 1 species